rnacentral:rRNA from 1 species
AGUGAACGCUGGCGGCGUGCCUAAUACAUGCAAGUCGAACGGAGUGGCGCACGGGUGAGUAAUGUAUAGCUAAUCUGCCCUACACUAGAGGACCACAGUUGGAAAAGGCUGCUAAUACUCUAUAGUGUAGGAUGAGGCUAUAUUGUAUCAGCUAGUUGGUGAGGUACUGGCUCACCAAGGCUAUGACGCAUAACUGGUCUGAGAGGAUGAUCAGUCACAUUGGAAGUGAGACACGGUGCAGACGCAUACGGCAGGCAGCAGUAGGGAAUAAUGCUCAAGGGGGGAAACCCUGAAGCAGCAACGCGGCGUGGAGGAUGACACUUUUCGGAGCGUAAACUCCUUUUGUUAGGGAAGCGGUACCUAACGAAUAAGCACCGGCUAACUCCGUGCCAGCAGCCGCGGUAAUUC